rnacentral:rRNA from 1 species
UUGAAGAGUUUGAUCAUGGCUCAGAUUGAACGCUGGCGGCAGGCCUAACACAUGCAAGUCGAACGGUAACAGAAAGCAGCUUGCUGCUUUGCUGACGAGUGGCGGACGGGUGAGUAAUGUCUGGGAAACUGCCUGAUGGAGGGGGAUAACUACUGGAAACGGUAGCUAAUACCGCAUAACGUCGCAAGACCAAAGAGGGGGACCUUCGGGCCUCUUGCCAUCGGAUGUGCCCAGAUGGGAUUAGCUAGUAGGUGGGGUAACGGCUCACCUAGGCGACGAUCCCUAGCUGGUCUGAGAGGAUGACCAGCCACACUGGAACUGAGACACGGUCCAGACUCCUACGGGAGGCAGCAGUGGGGAAUAUUGCACAAUGGGCGCAAGCCUGAUGCAGCCAUGCCGCGUGUAUGAAGAAGGCCUUCGGGUUGUAAAGUACUUUCAGCGGGGAGGAAGGGAGUAAAGUUAAUACCUUUGCUCAUUGACGUUACCCGCAGAAGAAGCACCGGCUAACUCCGUGCCAGCAGCCGCGGUAAUACGGAGGGUGCAAGCGUUAAUCGGAAUUACUGGGCGUAAAGCGCACGCAGGCGGUUUGUUAAGUCAGAUGUGAAAUCCCCGGGCUCAACCUGGGAACUGCAUCUGAUACUGGCAAGC